GGAUUCCCCUAGUAACUGCGAGUGAAGCGGGAAAAGCUCAAAUUUAAAAUCUGGCGGUCUUUGGCCGUCCGAGUUGUAGUCUGGAGAAGCGUCUUCCGCGUUGGACCGUGUACAAGUCUCUUGGAACAGAGCGUCAUAGAGGGUGAGAAUCCCGUCUUUGACACGGACUACCAAUGCUUUGUGAUGCGCUCUCAAAGAGUCGCGUUGUUUGGGAAUGCAGCGCAAAAUGGGAGGUGAAUUCCUUCUAAAGCUAAAUAUUGGCGAGAGACCGAUAGCGAACAAGUACCGUGAGGGAAAGAUGAAAAGCACUUUGGAAAGAGAGUUAAACAGUACGUGAAAUUGCUGAAAGGGAAACGCUUGAAGUCAGUCGCGUCGUCCGGAACUCAGCCUUGCUUCGGCUUGGUGCACUUUCCGGUUGACGGGCCAGCAUCUAUUUUGACCGCUGGAAAAGGGCUGGAGGAAUGUGGCACCUUCGGGUGUGUUAUAGCCUUCAGUCGCAUACAGCGGUUGGGAUCGAGGAACGCAGCACGCCUUAUGGCUGGGGUUCGCCCACAUUCGUGCUUAGGAUGCUGGCAUAAUGGCUUUAAACGACCCGUCUUGAAACACGGACCAAGGAGUCUAACAUGCCUGCGAGUGUUUGGGUGGAAAACCCGAGCGCGUAAUGAAAGUGAAAG
rnacentral:rRNA from 2 species